rnacentral:rRNA from 1 species
GCCAGACUCCUACGGGAGGCAGCAGUGGGGGAUAUUGCACAAUGGGGGAAACCCUGAUGCAGCGACGCCGCGUGAGUGAAGAAGUAAUUCGUUACGUAAAGCUCUAUCAGCAGGGAAGAAAAUGACGGUACCUGACUAAGAAGCCCCGGCUAACUACGUGCCAGCAGCCGCGGUAAUACGUAGGGGGCAAGCGUUAUCCGGAAUUACUGGGUGUAAAGGGAGCGCAGGCGGCGCGUUAAGCCUGGUGUGAAAGCCCGCGGCCCAACCGCGGGACUGCAUUGGGAACUGGCGCGCUGGAGUGCCGGAGGGGUAGGCGGAAUUCCUAGUGUAGCGGUGAAAUGCGUAGAUAUCAGGAGGAACACCGGCGGCGAAGGCGGCCUGCUGGACCGUGACUGACGUUGAGGCUCGAGAGCGUGGGGAGCAAACAGGAUUAGAUACCCUGGUACC